rnacentral:sRNA from 3 species
CUAAGGUUCGAUUCGAGCGUCAGCGAGAAAGCGUUGCCGCAGGCAACGACCCGAAGGGCGAAGCGCGCAGCGCUGAGUCAUCCUUCCCCCACCACCA